rnacentral:rRNA from 1 species
CACGUAGUUAGCCGGCGCUUCUUCCCCCACUACCAUCAACACAGCCAAAACUGUGCCUUUUUCGCGAGAAAAAGGAGUUCACAACCCGAAGGCCUACACCCUCCACGCGGCGUCGCUGCAUCAAACUUUCGUCCAUUGUGCAAUAUUCCCCACUGCUGCCUCCCGUAGGAGUCUGGGCCGUAUCUCAGUCCCAGUGCGACCGACCACCCUCUCAGGCCGGCUACCCGUCAAAGCCUUGGUAAGCCAUCACCCCACCAACAAGCUGAUAGGCCGCGAGCCCACCCAAUCCCAGAAAAAACCUUUCCAAACCACACCAUGCGAUGCAGCCUGAAUAUCCAGUAUUAGCAGCCGUUUCCAGCCGUUAUCCCAAAGAAAAGGACAGGUUACUCACGUGUUACUCGCCCGUUCGCCACUAAUCCACCACAGCAAGCUGCGGCUUCAUCGUUCGACUUGCAUGUGUUAAGCACGCCGCCAGCGUCGUCCUGUAGCCGAGAGUCAAACUACU